UACAGAGGUCCCAAGCGUUGUUCGGAUUCACUGGGCGUAAAGGGUGCGUAGGUGGCCAGGUAAGUUUGAUGUGAAAGCUCGGAGCUUAACUCCGAAAUGGCAUUGAAUACUAUCUGGCUUGAGGGUCGGAGGGGAGGCUGGAAUUCUCGGUGUAGCAGUGAAAUGCGUAGAUAUCGAGAGGAACACCAGUGGCGAAGGCGAGUCUCUGGACGACACCUGACACUGAGGCACGAAAGCUAGGGGAGCAAACAGG
rnacentral:rRNA from 1 species